GACGAACGCUGGCGGCAGGCCUAACCCAUGCUAGUCGAGCUGUGCGGCGGACGGGUGAGUAAUGCCUAGGAAUCUGCCUGGUAGUGGGGGCUAACGUCCGGAAACGGGCGAUAAUACCGCAUACUAUCAGAUGAGCCUAUGUCGUAUUAGCUAGUUGGUGGGGUAAAGGCCUACCAAUGCGACGAUCCGUACCUGGUCUGAGAGGAUGCUCAGUCACACUGGAACUGAGACACGGUCCAGGCGCCUGCGAGAGGCAGCAGUGGGACAUAUUGGACAAUGGGCGAAAGCCUGAUCCAGCCAGGCCGCGUGUGUGAAGAAGGUCUUCGGAUUGUAGAGCACUUUAAGUUGGGAGGCGUUACCAACAGAAUAAACACCGGCUAACGUCGUGCCAGCAGCCGCGGUAAUAC
rnacentral:rRNA from 1 species